AAAUCAUUAGCUGACAGAAAUAUAGUGAGAGUCUGGUUCGUGACGUCACAGACUAACCCAAACAUUAGUUCCCUUCACCGCGUCUGCCUCGUCUGAUUAGACACACGGCAACAUGCGUGCUAAGUGGAGAAAGAAGCGUAUGCGUAGGCUUAAGCGUAAGCGCAGGAAGAUGCGUGCGAGGUCGAAGUAGACUGCUCUCCCUUUUUAGUUAGCAGCAGUGGACCAACUGUGAAGCUGCAGUACUUUUUAAGGUAUCACUCAAUAAAUGUGGGAGAGGUAAA